UUUUCCUUCGUCUGAUUUGAAUGAAAAGCAGUUGAACAUCCACGAGAACCAAUUUAGAUUCUUCUUCUCAUUGCUACCCAUCUCAAUAUCUCACGAGAAGAGGAUAAUGUUUUUCUUUGAUUUCUUGGUUAACUUAAUAAGUAUGUAUGUGAUUAAAACAAGCAGCUGUCAGCUGUGUGUUUGUUUAUAUACACACAUAUGAUGUCUUGGUCAUCAAAGGUUGAUUGAUCAAAGGAAAAAUCCCAGAAAAUUCUAUUUUCUUCAAGUGAAUCUUGACCAUUGACCAGUCUUCACUUUUUUUUCCUCUUGUGCAAGCAACCAACAGUGGACGCUGGUGUAUGCUUAGUUUCAUCGUCAAAUUAUUAUCCAAUUUGAAAUAAUUAUCAUUAUUCUAAUAAACAAAAAUCCCUGUGAUCAAACUGCAUUAGGAAAUUUUUUUAUCAUUAAAUAUCUUGAAACCAACAGAAAUUGUCAAAGCUUUUUAAUAACACGUCAGAUAUAUACCAGAAGGCUACAAUAUUUGAAUAUAACCCAAAUAAGAAUAAAGAAUCGAAUUAGAAAAUAAUUAAUUAGAGGACUAAAUGAUGGGUGCUGCAGCGGCGUCGUUUUGUCCGUCAACAUCUCUGUCUAAACAUGCAAUUGCAAAGCACAGCUUCUCAUCUAUGCGAAACGACCAAACCUGAAUCUUUUUGUUUAUCACGAAAUCCUUUUCAUUGGCCUUCACAAAGCGGUUCCAGUUGGUUUUGAGGACGUAGUUGCUGGUGCUGAUCAUGUGCCACAUCUUCAACAUCAUCGGCUUCUUAUGCAUCUCUAAUCUUGGCCCCCACAAUUUCACCUCAAACUCCAUUCCAUUCUCCAAAUCUUCUAUCUCAUUUUUCCUCAAGAACUCAUCCGGUUUGAUCACUUGUUUCGUCGGCAUACUCAACCUGUUCUGGAACCGGUUUAUGUCGCCGCAAAAACCCCAUUGUCGUCGCUAUGACCGACGUCGCUAAAGAUAACCACCGGUGAUCCGUCGGAGAUACGCUACUUUCAAUCGUCACCUUUGGUUUGGCAAAUAAUCCAACGGAUAGGGUUUGUUCCUAUGAUAAGGCAUUAGAGACGACACCUUUAGCGGCGACAUGUCGCCGCUAAAGGGGGCGAUCCGUUGACUCACCCUUAGACGAAAUCUGGCCCUACAAUUCCAACCCAAUCCAACGAUUGGUAAUCGCCAAAAAGUGCGCGUAUGAUUCCCUCCAUUUUGUCGCCGCAAAUAGCCCCAUGUCGCCGCUAUUAGCGUAGCCCUUUAUGUUCCGGUUCGUCUUUGCCAGACGAACGUUCCUCUCCUUUCUUUCACACCGGCGAUCUGCAAUUUAUGUGGCGACUCCCACCGCUCUCCACCGCUGAUUGGGCUACAAACCCUUCUCCCACGGACGAUUGUCCUCCAAAACCGAGUCCCACCGGCGGUAUAACCUCCAAAGUGACUGCCACCUCCAAUUCCGACGGGACCUUCGAUUUCGUGCUGAUAUGUCCGGCGAGCAGCUUCACCACGACUAAAUCUUCACCACUGUCUAGCUUUUAUUUUUCCUGGUAAAAACAGGUUAGUUUGACAGUUUCACUUGAUGGAAACUGUAAAAUUGUUUAUUUUGAAGCUGUGAAAUUGUUUAUUUUGAAGCUGUGAAAUUGUUUAUGAAGCUGUGAAUGUGAAUGAUUAUUUUGAAGCUGUGAAUGAUUAUUAUGAAGCUGUGAAAUUUGUGAAAUUUAUUAUGAAGCGGUGAAAUUUGUGAAAUUUAUUAUGAAGCUGUGAAAUUGAUUUUGAGUGUGAACUGUGAAAUUGUGAAUUUGAUUAUUUUGAUUUCUUUGGAUUGAUAUAAACUGGAAACUGUGAAAUUGUUUAUUUUUUCAAUUGUUUGAAUGUAUGUUUCGGUUGAUUAAUUUGAUUUGUUUUGUAUGAAUUGAGUAGUUUAUAUACAUUCACUUGUUGAUCA